AGGGACGGACGGGAGGGAUGGAGGAAGGCAGGGAAGGGAGGGAUCGGGACAGCGGGGAUUUCGGCACCGCGAGCCCGAGGGGACAGGGGGGCGGUGAGGAGGCGGCCUGAGAGCUCCGGAGACCGGCGAGACCUUGGUGGCCCCUUCUCCCUGAGGACAUCCUUCGCCUUCAGGGGAUCCUCCUCCCUGAGGGGACUCCCUUCUUUGAGGGAAAUCUCCCUGACCCUCUUUCCUGAGACAGCCUUUCUCCCCGGGGAGACCCUUCUCCCUGAAGGAACCCUCCUUCCUGAGGUGUUUCUUUUUGGCCCUGGGGGGACCCUUUCUCCAAAAGAGACCCUUUUCGCUGAGAGGACCCUUCUCCUCGAGAGGACCCUCCUUUUUGAGGGAACCCUCCUCCCUGAAAGACCCUUUGCCCUGAGGGGACCCUCCUUUUUGAAGUGACCCUUCUCUCUGAGGGGACUGUCCUCCCUGAGGUGUUUCUUGUCCCUGAGGGGACCUUUUACCCUACAGAGACCCUCCUUUUUGAGGGAACUCUGCUCCCUUAGGAGACCCUUUUCCCUGAGGAGACCCUUCUCCCUGAGCCGCCCUGCCCCUAAAACGUUUUUCAAAAAUAAAAAUUCAGAGCUGUAGCUGGGGCAGAGCGACCACCCCCAGCAGCCUGUAUCAGAGCUGAGGUGCCGCGAUGGCCUGUGCUGAGGCAUUUUAAAAACCAUCCCAAAAAUUAUGCCUGGAAGAUCCGUGGCAGAAGGUGCUGCCAGCCCUGAUCUGUGCUGGAAACAGCUCUUGGCUUUUGGGAAGGAAAAGGCUGUGUGUAAUGUACACAAACAAACAAACAAACACACACAAACAAACACACAAACAAACAAACACACACAAACACACACACACAAACAAACACACAAACAAACAAACACACACACUUUCAUUUUCAGGGUAAACAGUCAGGGGCUGGUGAAUUUCAAUGUCAAUGGGGAGCGGAGGGAAAACACAACAGUUUCUCAAUGAAUGGGUUAAACUUCUGUCUCCUGACUGGCAAAAUCAGCCCGAUCUGAGGCUGAGGGGUAAAAAGGCUGUACAAGGGCUGAGGGACCAGUGCAAGAUCACAGGGAUUGUGCUUAGAAAUCAACCCUGCACUUCAGUCAGAUGUGAAUACCUGUGAGAAAAAUUAAAACUUCAGUGGUCGAAAACUGGUCCCAGAAUUCACUUUUUUUUCAGGUUAACUAUUUUCUAUCUCAGCAGCCUUCUCCUUGCACUUUCAGCCACAGGGUUUGGCUCCUGUAACAUACCAAGGCCUUUGCCUUCAUAGCAGUGACACCUCAAUGGACUGUGCUUUGUCUGACUCCAGUUGGUUUCCUCGCAGCCCAAGCUCAGUGUGAAGACUCCUCCUCCUUCCAGCCAGGGGGAAGAUGUGCAGAUUCCCACAAAGCUGGUGAGUUCCUGUAACCAAAUGGAACAGAUGAGAGCUAGAAACACAUUGACCAGAAUUCCAAGGAGACCACGUUUGAACCAGUGGAUACAGAUUUCGACUUGUUACAGUCACCACUAGAGGCACAGGAGUUACCCGGCUUGUGUCAGCAGGCUGUGUCUGGAGAAUCUCUUUCAGCCCGGAAAUACAAGAUUAGAGAUUCUGAUCUAACCUACCUUGCCCCAAGACUGACUGACCAGUAUCACCUUCACAAACAUAUGAUGACUUCAUGACCUUUUUCUCCAACUACUGAGCACAGAACCAGCCAAAGGGUACCUGGCCUGCCUUAGCUCCAAGCAGCCAGUUUUGCAAAGAUAGGUUCUGCUUUAGCCUCUUUUGUUCAAGUCCCUGUGAGCUGUGGGUUUAUUUGCCUUGUCUGUCAAUCUAAACCGAGCUUCCUGCUGCUACUGGAUGGUGUUUUGUCACUGCCUGUGACAGUGGGCUGUAAAUGCAGGGUAACUAACUCUUAAGGCCACAAGGUACUCACACUAAAUCAGCCAGAUUAUGCUCCUGCUGAGGGGGAAUUUCCAGGUCACAAAUUGACACCCUCUCAUCACCUUUUUGCACCAAGAGUGUAUAAAGUCAAGUUAAAACCUGGUGCAUAAGGGCAACAGUCCACAGAACUCCUGAAAUGAGUAGUCACUUCCUCAUGUAUAUUCUCAGAUACCCAGCAGAGCUAGUCAAGUGUCCCCAGCUUUGUUUCUGCCAGUAAGAAAGAGAGAAUACACUAAGAUGCCUUUUAAGGACAUUCAGGAAUAUACUGGUGUAUUAAAAAGAGGAAGAAAAUGCAAGAGGGUUCUAAAAGCAAUUGUGGCUAAUUUUGUGAAUUGCUGAUAGACUUGUGUUUGUUUGCAGAGGGAAAAAAAACAAACCCACAAAACCCCAAACUGUUUUAUUUAAAAGACUGUAUAUCUUUGACUUGCAUAAAAGGAAGAAGUUUGGUUUUAUUAGUUUGCCAAGACUACAGAAAAUCUAAAUGGCCUUAGUUCCAAAUAAUUCUCAUAUCAGUAAAGUCUCAUUUCAAGCAAGUCUCCUUCAGUUAAAGGAAAUUAUUGCAAGGUAACAAUGGAAUGUAAAUUAUGAGCUGAGCAGCUGUGUCUUUAUAUCAAGCACUUUUGUUUUAUUCAGAUUAUCUUUUAUUCCCUUUAAAAUUAUUUUUUCUCCUACCUUGAGUUAAAAGAGAGAAAUUUUGCUGCUCCUCAGUUUUGCAGAUGUGUGUUAAGGUUGUUACCCUCUCUGUCAGUGAUGCAGAGAAUCAUUCUGAUUCACCUUUGCACUGUGUUCUUAUUGAAGGCCUGCUGAGACAGGGACCCUGCUGUGCCAAAGACUGUGCAGACAGAGAGACAGAGGAUUUCUGUUCCCAAGAGCUUAUAAUUAGCUACAUUCACACAUACAUUGAGCAGAACACCAGUCCUCUCAGCCACAGACAUCAGAGAACUCCAAAAAAUGGUGUGGAGUGUGUCUAUCAGAGUCCAAAGUCUUUGGCUUACCUGGAGUAAACAAGUGCCCACAACAGGGUGGUUAUUGCCCAAAGCAAUACUUCCCAAACCAGUGCAGAUUGUAGGAGCAUCCAGUUGUUGCUGCCUGCUCAGUGCUGGGAUCUCUGCUCCAGAAAUAUCUGGGAAAAGGUGAGAAGAUGAGACAUGGGAUAUGUGUGUGAGGAAGCUGUUCCUGCCUCAUGCCUUUCCCAGGGGUGUAGAUAUAUGCAUAUAUACCAUAUAUAGUAUGCAGUCAUGUCCCUGUACUGCUCAGCAUUACCAAAUUACUCCAAUCAGUUGCAGGGGUUUUUUUAAUCAAAACUUCAGGCUAUAAAAGCCAGGUUCUGGAGUAGCUUCCUAUGUAAUCCAGCAGCUUCCUAUGUGAUCCAGCAGCUUUCUGUGUGAUCCAACAGCUUCCUGUGUGAUCCAGGUGUGCUGCCUACUAGAGCCAUAGGCUGUGGAAGGAAGUUAGGGUAGUAAAUUGCUUCCAUCUCAGUGUUUAUUCCAUGUGUGGGAUAAGUCCAGUGCCUUCACAAAACAAAUGUGGCAGAUGUGUCUCCCACAGCUGCUCUCCAGAACAAAACACAGCAGCUUUCUCUUUAUUUUCUGUUUUCAGGUUGUACUUUAUCUCAUAAGAGUGAAACCAUCAUUAAGAACAAAUAGUCUUAAACUGCAAAUCCAACUAUUCUCCACAGCACAAUGAGCUGUUAAAGGUCAGACUGGCUCUUUACAGCUUGGGCCCAAUUAUGCAUUACAAACAAGCAAGAGGAUAACGUGCUUUUAUCCUGAGUAAGGUACCAGUUAGAUCAAGAUCAUAGCAGAGAGCUGUGACAGCUUUGAAGGGCUGCCUGUAAGUCAUCUGCUGCUGGAGGUGACUCAGAGAGUGUGUCCCCGGAGAAGGCUCAAGUUGCAGUUUAAAGCAGUGAUUUUCAACACUAAACAGGAGAUACGUGACAGAUCAGAGUCCAAACCAAGCUCUGCCUUUAUAUUGGGCUCUGCUGGCAGCUGAUGUGGGGAAGGGGAGAUUCAGGGUGGUGGGGAGGAGAAGGUGAAGUGAUGAAAUGCUCUGUGUGAUCGGUUGGGAGUGAAAAAUGAUAAAAACCUCUUUUUUUCUUUUUCCCCGAGGUCUGUUCUUGUCUUGCUCUGUGGCCUCAGGCAGGUUAGUUGUACAUCUCUCCAUACAAAUCCUGCAAGAGUGCAGGGUGUAAUGCCCCUGAUUUUUCUCAACUGCUGUAGCAACAUGCUUUCUAACAACACAGGGAGGAAAAGUAACAGCACUGUUGUUACAGGUUCCCCUGAAACCACCUUUUUGUUCCCAUCCUGCAGAAGGACCCCCCUUGCCUUAGGCACCUCCUUUCAGAGCUGAUGUACCUGCCAAGCAGGAGUUGCACAGAAUAAAACUGAUUCCUUUGGCUUGAGGUGCAUCAAAAAACCACUUUGCACUCAAAAGCAGCCACAAAUCUGGCAGGAGCAUGAGGCCACCACCAAAACUGGGUGUUACACGAUACCUUAUUCCACUUGGGAAGAGCUGGCUGUUUCUAUGGCUACUGCUGCCUUUCUCUCCAACACACCAACCAUUGGUUCUGAUGAGAUCAUAUUGUAUUAUAGAAAAAAAAAAAUCACUCACAUACUGCUUUACACUGCAGCAUUUGUUGAGCUACUAUAUAUCUGACUUCCUAUAAUAAAGACAUUUUCCAUUUAAUGUAUUCUUGUAAACGGGUAGGAUUUCCCUCAUCUCUGAUUUAUAAAUGCAUCCAUUUUGGCCUCGAAAAUCCUGGUUCUGGUUUCCAUGACAACAGGCUUGAUUUUUGAGGCUAUUUCUUCCCCUUACUUCAUCUUGGGUGGGAAGAGUUUCUGUCCCCUUCCAGUAGCAGUGCAAUGGGCAAGCAAAAUGGUUGCCUUGAAGGAGAAUGAGCAGACCUGAAAGCAGAAACUUCAGCCAGCUUUUUUAAACACAGGUGAGAAAUGCAUGAGAAGAAUGGCACCACAAACCUAGCACAGGCUUGAGUCAGAUUUUUUGUACACAGAAAGUCAAAUGCACAUAUAAUCCCAGGAUAUUUUAGUCAUGUACCCCCCUGUCAGGUAUUUAACAAACUGAUCUGGUAGCCCUGAAUAGCACUGUGUUGGCACAUGACAAAAUAAUCAGAGGAUCUCGUCAGUCUGUUCAUAUUGUAACCUUGUAGAUUAAUUAGUACUGAAUGCACUUUAUUAUUUGAAAUACACUCUCACUGUCUCUAUUUUUUCCCUCAGUACAUCCCAUCUACAGUACUGGACUGCCAGGACUGUCUCUAUCAUAGAUCAUUCACAGCUAAACCAUAUUCUUUCAAUGUGGAACAGUGCAUUUGAGACUCUGAGUACUAAAGGCACCAUAAAUAAUCCAUAACUGCUUUGCAAGGAUCUUUCUAGUGGGUUUUUUCACUUUUAACAUUUCCAGGAAAAAUGAAGAUAGACAGCUGCUGGUACUCCAUGGCUGAAGUGGUUUAGCAAUUGCUGUUCUAAAAUGAUAAAAAGGUGGUUUUUGCAAACUCCUCAGAAAAUCCCUGGAGAGGGCCUUUGUUCCUUUUUCCUGCAGAGAAGAAACACAACUUACCUACAUCCUUCUGGGUAAUAAGUACCUUCAAGUGUGCCAUCCACUAAAGGUGCAGAUGAAACGUCUCUCUUUGGUUUGUCAUAGAGUUUUUCUUACUUUCUGUGAGUGAAAGAUAUUAUGGAACCACAGUGUCUAAGGUAUCAUUGCAUUAUGGCAUUAUAAUCUCAUUUGCAUUUGAGCUGGGAGCAGCCUGAUAAAGCUGUUCCUUAAACUAGUACAGGAUUGCUCCCAGUGUUUAAUCUGAAUGCUGGAGCUACCAGCCCAUCUUUUUGGAGCAGGUGUAGGUCAGGUAUUUUGCACUAAGACAGAAGGCAGGAGUACCUCAUUUAGGCAUGUUUUAUCCACACUGUUGUAACCUGCCAGUAAUUUACAUUAGAGGCUGGCCUGUGACCCCCAAACAAAGCACAGUCCCCACCUGGGCAGCCCCUGACACAUCUCAGGGUAGAAUGAGAUUAUCACUGAAAGCCAAGCAGAGUUCAGAGUGAAUCAAUAUCAGGCACAACACAAAAGUGAUUCAGUGAUUGCCUUAAAUAACCACAGGUUUUCCCUUCUGUCAUGACUAAACCAUCCUGCCCUAACAGCCAGUCCCUUGGGGACAAUGAAGUCACAGCAGCACAAUUUCAGCUGUGCAGCCAACUAGAGACAAUAUGAGCACCCUUGUCUUCUCUGCCCUACCAUGGCAUGGAGGGGAUUAAAAAGUGAGUCAUUGGCUGGAAAAAGUACUGAUCCUGUGGCAGUAGGAUGAGUCUUAAAAAAGCUCUUGCAUUCUGUAAAGGUUAAUUGUAAGAGUGGUGAAGCAGGAAGACACAACUGAAAACAGUGAAACCUAUGCAUUGUGUGCUGUUAACUUCUCAGAUAUUAACGUUUCCUUCUCUAAAAUGCUCUCACACUUAAAACACUUCAGUGGAUUUAUAACCCAGGACAAUGAAAAAAAAAAUACAAUUUUUACUUGUUUGGGUUUGUCCUCAUUUCAUGUGAUAUUGUACCACACAAGAGUAUUGUGUUGAAAUCCUAAAUGUUGUUUGUUGUACUGCCUGAAAGUUCCUCCAAAUAGUUAAUUGAUUCUUGCUUUUCAUGUAGCCCAGAGCAAGUUUAGAGGAAAUAAAUGUAACAUGAGUUAGUCAUCCUUAAAUAAUCUCAAAGCAGGGAGCCCUACAUUAACAGCAGGCUGAUAAUAAGCUGUGUAGUGCUAUCUCCAGCAAAGCUUUGCCCAUGACUUCGAAUAAAUUUACGAGCUGUCA